UCGGCUUAGUUAUGUUUUUAAGUUGGUCCACAGUGGGGGUCUGACUCAGAAAAGUUAUUUAAAAAUGUUCUACGGCAAUACUUGUGUCUGCACUACGUGCAAAGGGAAGCUAAGUAGCUCAGGUAUACUUGAGAAAAAAAUCCAGGGUGUUGUUCGGCUUAGUUUUGUUUUUAAGUAGGUCCACAGUUGGGGUCGGACACCCUACCCCACCCUUACAGAACAGUCAAUAAAAAUAUGGUGUACGUCAACAUUUUUGUCUGCACUAGGUGGAAAUGGAGCUGGAUAGCUGAGUUCAACAUGAGAAAAAAUCCAGGGUGUUGUUCGGCUUAGUUUUGCUUUUAAGUAGGUCCAGAAUUGGGGUCGGACACCCUACCCCACCCUUACAGAAAAGUUAAGAAAAAAUGUUUUACGCAUAAAUUGUGUCUACACUAGGUGCAAAGCGAAGCAGGGUAGCUGAGGUCAACAUGAGAAAAAUUCCAGGGUGUUGUGCGUCUUAGUUUUGUUUUAUAGUAGGUCAACAGUUGUGGUCGUACUCCAUACCCCACCCUUACAGAAAAGAUAAUAAAAAAUGUUCUACAGCAUCACUUUUGUCUGCACUAGUUGCAAAGGGAAGCUGGGCAGCUAAAUUUUACUUGAGAAAAAAUCAAGGGUGUUGUUCGGCUUAGUUUUGUUUUCAAGUAGGUCAACAGUUGGG
rnacentral:lncRNA from 1 species